CCUCAAGGUAGAUGCACAGCAGAGCGAGAGGGAGACAACAGCUGUGUUUGUGAUGUGUGCGUCAUUGCUGAAAAACCACACAAACACACACAUACAAGGAAACACAUAUAUUCCUAAUCACCUACACAUAGAUGACUAUAUAAACAUAUAGUCAUUGGUACAUACCAAAAGUGUACUCUAUUGUGCUUUGCUGUGCUGUGUAAAUCCUUCAACAACUCAAGUAAAGUUCUGAAUUGAA